GGGGAAGAUCUGCUCGGUGAUGAGAUGUAACAGCUAAGGUGACCUCUAGUCCAAACCCCAUCCUGCAUUUGGGAGAAGUGCUUCCUCUCUUCCUUUACACUGAUCUUCAGUGAUGGCCCCUUUGAAUACCAUUAUCCAUCCACAAUAGAAACAGAGGACAAAAUCACACCUGCCAAUCAAUCUAGGUUACAUGCAUGGAAGCAAUAUUCCCAGAUAGCAGUGGUAUUCGGCUAAACUCGGUGGUGAAAU